rnacentral:lncRNA from 1 species
AUGGAAGAGGUUUUCCUGCUAGCUAGCUUUCUUCAUUUUACCGACAUGGCUAAAGAGAUAGACAUGAAAUUUUAUUUUUUUCAAUUAAUUUAUUGGUUCCAUGUAUCGGAGGGAAUCAAAAAAAAAGAAAACUCAUAAUUCUUUUUAAAUUUUUCUCUAAGCAUUUUAACCUUAUCUUUUAAUCUUACCAUUUAAAUAUUUAUGGUAUCAUCUUACCAUUUAAAUAUUUAUGGUGUUGUUAAUCUCUUUAUUAACGU